rnacentral:rRNA from 1 species
UACAGAGGGUGCAAGCGUUGUUCGGAAUUACUGGGCGUAAAGGGCGCGUAGGCGGUUCGCUAAGUUGGAUGUGAAAACGUCUGGGCUCAACCCAGAGCCUGCAUCCAAAACUGGCGGGCUAGAGUUCUGGAGGGGGUAGCGGAAUUCCUGGUGUAGCGGUGAAAUGCGUAGAUAUCAGGAGGAACACCGGCGGCGAAGGCGGCUACCUGGACAGAAACUGACGCUGAGGCGCGAAAGCUAGGGGAGCAAACAGG